rnacentral:rRNA from 1 species
AUUGAACGCUAGCGGGAUGCCUUACACAUGCAAGUCGAACGGAGUGGCGAACGGGUGAGUAAUGUAUCGGAACGUGCCCAGUAGCGGGGGAUAACUACGCGAAAGCGUAGCUAAUACCGCAUACUAUUGGAGCGGCCGAUAUCGGAUUAGCUAGUUGGUGGGGUAACGGCUCACCAAGGCGACGAUCCGUAGCUGGUUUGAGAGGACGACCAGCCACACUGGGACUGAGACACGGCCCAGACUCCUACGGGAGGCAGCAGUGGGGAAUUUUCGGCAAUGGGCGAAAGUCUGACCCAGCAAUGCCGCGUGAGUGAUGAAGGUCUUCGGGUCGUAAAGCUCUGUUGUUAGGGAAGCGGUAUCUACCCAGUAAGCCACGGCUAACUACGUGCCAGCAGCCGCGGUAAUAC